rnacentral:rRNA from 1 species
CCCUGAAUACACCAGAUCUCUUGUCUGAUCUCGGAAGCAAAGCAGGGU